rnacentral:rRNA from 1 species
UACGGGGGGAGCAAGCGUUGUUCGGAUUUACUGGGCGUAAAGGGCGCGUAGGCGGCCGUGUAAGUCACUUGUGAAAUCCCGGGGCUCAACUCCGGGGCUGCAGGUGAGACUGCGUGGCUAGAGCACGGUAGAGGCGAGUGGAAUUCCCGGUGUAGCGGUGGAAUGCGUAGAUAUCGGGAAGAACACCGGUGGCGAAGGCGGCUCGCUGGGCCGUUGCUGACGCUGAGGCGCGAAAGCGUGGGGAGCAAACAGG